rnacentral:rRNA from 1 species
GACGAACGCUGGCGGCGUGCCUCCUCCCUUCCCGUCGAUCUCACCCCCUCUUCGCUUGCUCCUCUUGGUUAUCUGCUGACGGGUGAGUAACACGUUGGCCCCCUGCCUGUAAGACUGGGAUAACACCGGUACACCGGUGCUCAUACCGGAUCCUCCUUUUCCUCUCCUUAGGCAACGUUGAAAGUCGGUUUACGCUGACCCUUACAGAUGGGCCCGCGGCGCAUUAGCUAGUUGGUGAGGUAACGGCUCACCAAGGCGACGAUGCGUAGCCGACCUGAGAGGGUGAUCGGCCACACUGGGACUGAGACACGGCACAGACUCCUACGGGAGGCAGCAGUAGGGAAUCUGCCGCAAUGGACGAAAGUCUGACGGAGCAAUGCCGCGUGAGCGAUGAAGGCCUUCGGGUCGUAAAGCUCUGUUGUUAGGGAAGAACAAGUAUCGGAGUAACUGCCGGUACCUUGACGGUACCUAACCAGAAAGCCACGGCUAACUACGUGCCAGCCGCCGCGGUAA